GCCGGGCGUUGUGGCGGGCGCCUGUGGUCCCAGCUACUUGGGAGGCGGAGGCAGGAGACUCGCUUGAGCCCAGGAGUUGGAGGUUGCUGUGAGCAGUGAAGUCAUAGCACUCUACCCAGGGGGACAGCUUGAGGCUCUGUCUCAAAAAAAAAAAAAAAAAAAUUUGUCUUUAAAGGAAAAGGGCUAAUGUUUCUGUCUUCAGGCUUUAAGAAAACAUAUUUUUUUUUUUUUUUUUUUUUGAGACGGAGCCUCAAGCUAUCCCCCUGGGUAGAGUGCCAUGGCAUCACGCUCACAGCAACCUCCAACUCCUGGGCUCAAGCGAGUCUCCUGCCUCCGC
rfam:Otolemur garnettii contig057370, whole genome shotgun sequence.